CCUACGGGUGGCAGCAGUGGGGAAUAUUGGUCAAUGGACGAGAGUCUGAACCAGCGAAGUAGCGUGAAGGAUGACUGCCCUAGGGGUUGUAAACUUCUUUUAUAUGGGAAUAAAACGUUCCACGUGUGGGAUUUUGUAUGUACCAUAUGAAUAAGGAUCGGCUAACUCCGUGCCAGCCGCCGCGGUAAUACGGAGGAUCCGAGGGUUAUCCGGAUUUCUUGGGUUUAAAGGGAGCGUAGGUGGAUUGUUAAGUCAGUUGUGAAAGUUUGGGGCUCAACCGUAAAAUUGCAGUUGAAACUGGCAGUCUUGAGUACAGUAGAGGUGGGCGGAAUUCGUGGUGUAGUGGUGAAAUGCGUAGAUAUCACGAAGAACUCCGAUGGCGAAGGCAGUUCACUGGACUGCAACUGACACUGAGGCUCGAAAGUGUGGGUAGCAAACAGGAUUAGAUACCCGAGUAGUC
rnacentral:rRNA from 1 species